rnacentral:rRNA from 1 species
AUGCCAGAGAAAGUUCUCGACCUCUCCAUUGACCUUUGUCGCAAGUCCAACAAGCAGUGCCUUCGGGGUUUUUCGCCAAGUCCCUCUCCGACUAGUGUACCACUACCGUCGACAAAGACAUGUGCAUCGCAAGCGUCAAGUUCAACUACCGUCGACCUCGAAGGGCUCGGAGUCAUCAAGCACCUCUCUGAACGAACGGGAACGACUACUGUCGCAAAGAUCGAGAGUACCUCUACGAAAAACACCAAGUACCCCUUUAUGUCGGCAAGACCCGCAAGUCGGACCCCGAACGAUCGACGACUCGUGGACCAUGUACAACUUCAGGCGCCGAACACCCGGAUAGCACAAAUGCCAAGUACCCCAGAGACCACUUGGACGUCAAGUAUCGUCGAACCGCGAAGACUCCAUGGACGUCAAGUUCCUCGCGUGACCAUGAACAUCUACGGAGACUUGUGCGUCUAA